AGUCACGUGUGGAGGCAGGAAGUUGAGGUCACGAGGGCUGGUCAACUUCCUGUCUGAGCUCUGAUUGGGUAAAACCGACUCCGGGAGGCGGGCUCUGUGGACGGAUAGGGUCCUGAGCAAAUCUGACGAGAAGAUGCCGGGGAUAGCGGGAGAGGAUGUGGAGCGGUGCUAGGAAAAAGGCGGGAGUAAGACGUUGGCAAACAGGAGGAGCCCAGCUGAUCCUGUUUCUGCUAAGGAACCCAUUGAAGUGUUUCCUAACGAGAAGAUGGGGAAUAAUGUAAGAAAUACUGGCAAGAGGUCAGAGAGAUGACUCAGCACUUAACAGCACUGCCUGCUCUUCCAGGGGACCCAGGUUCAGUUUCCAGCACCCACAUAGCAGCUCAUGCCUCUAACUCCAUUUCCAGGGAAACCUCAGUGGAGUCUUCUUCGUGGGCUGAAGAAGCAAGAUAUCACGCUCGGCUCAGCUCCAAGACUCACAUAUCCUGAAGGAUGUGUGUGGCUCAGAGAUAGGUCUCAAAAGAACUUGCCAAAGCAACAUAUGCCAUGGUAGAACCAUUUGUACGUGGCUGAAGAGGAAAGGAAGAAUCUGGCGGGGGAAGAUGGAAACUCUGUGCAUCAGAGUUAAAAUCAUGGGGUCUCACGACAAAGAGGAUGGAGACGGUGUGGAAGGCAGUUUAAGGCUGCAAAGCUUUCUCCAUCAUCAGCCAGAAGCACAGCACAUAUGCACUGAAGCUGACAUGGCUAACACGCUAAGCUUGCCACUAAAAAUCUAUUAUUGUGUGUGGUCUGUAAUUAAGCCCAAGAAGACACCCAGCAGUGCAUACAUAGCAAUGAGCAGAUGCAGUGUGGUUAUUUAUAGCACGAUGCUUUGGGGAAAGCUGGUGGUGGACACAUUUAGAUGACAUUUAUAUAGUUAUACAAAUAGAGGCUUGAUUUUGGUCUGUCUUCAGAUUUAGGGCUCUGGUGGCAAAUGCUGAAGUAAUUGGCUCUUUUGGACAACGUUGUGCAAUCAUUUAACCUCAUAGGGCCCUUGUAGCCUGGUAGGUUUUAUGGGGAACCAAAACAAGACAGAGUUCUUCAGUAGACUAUAAACACAGAAUCACUUGCAAUGACUUCAUUCUGACAUUAAGAAAUACAGUACCUUUAAAGUUUCACCUC